rnacentral:piRNA from 1 species
UUGCAAAUAUAAAAUGCCAAACGAAUGGU